GGUUGGGCAAACGCUGUGCAUUCAGCCGUUUGUUUUCAAGACCUAAAGCUUAAGGGUGGAAGCU
rnacentral:ncRNA from 1 species